GGCAGCGAGCCAUCAGCACCAACCAACGACCUCCAAGUUCUUGCCGCCGGUGCUGCUCCUCGUCGCAGCCAAAGUUUACCGGCCGCUCACGCGCCCUCUCCGUGCUGACGACCAGGAUCUGUCACAAUCAAAUCCCAGCUAAACUAACUCCACCAAAGCUACUGCUAGGUGCCUACAUUCAAAACGUCGACUCUCGGACCUCCACCACAGCACCGCGUCCACAAUCCGGAGAAAAAAAAUCCAAUGUCCCCAAGCUGCU